rnacentral:rRNA from 1 species
UACAGAGGUCUCAAGCGUUGUUCGGAUUCAUUGGGCGUAAAGGGUGUGUAGGUGGCGCGCUAAGUCGGGUGUGAAUUUCGGAGCUUAACUCCGAAACUGCAUUCGAUGACUGGCGUGCUUGAGGACUGGAGAGGAGACUGGAAUUCAUGGUGAGCAGUGAAAUGCGUAGAGAUCAUGAGGAAGACCAGUGGCGAAAGGCGGGUCUCUGGACAGUUCCUGACACUGAGACACGAAGGCCAGGGGAGCAAACGGG